rnacentral:tRNA from 3 species
GCUCCAUUAGCUCAGUUGGUUUAGAGCUUCGUGCUUAUAGUUGGUUGGUUCUUUCUUAAUUAAAAAUUAGGGAAACUAAUCUCAUAAAACUAUGAAAGAGUCACGCGGAGGUCGCCAGUUCGAUCCUGGCAUGGAGCA